UACGUAGGGUGCAAGCGUUAAUCGGAAUUACUGGGCGUAAAGCGUGCGCAGGCGGUUUUGUAAGUCUGUCGUGAAAGCCCCGGGCUCAACCUGGGAAUUGCGAUGGAGACUGCAAGGCUAGAGUGUGUCAGAGGGGGGUAGAAUUCCACGUGUAGCAGUGAAAUGCGUAGAUAUGUGGAGGAACACCGAUGGCGAAGGCAGCCCCCUGGGAUAACACUGACGCUCAUGCACGAAAGCGUGGGGAGCAAACAGG
rnacentral:rRNA from 1 species